rnacentral:rRNA from 1 species
UACGUAGGGUGCGAGCGUUGUCCGGAAUUACUGGGCGUAAAGAGCUCGUAGGUGGUUUGUCGCGUUGUUCGUGAAAACCGGGGGCUUAACCCUCGGCGUGCGGGCGAUACGGGCAGACUUGAGUACUGCAGGGGAGACUGGAAUUCCUGGUGUAGCGGUGGAAUGCGCAGAUAUCAGGAGGAACACCGGUGGCGAAGGCGGGUCUCUGGAACGGUACUGACGCUGAGACGCGAAAGCGUGGGGAGCGAACAGG